rnacentral:rRNA from 1 species
CCCUUAGAUGUCCUGGGCUGCACGCGCGCUACACUGAUGUGUCCAGUAAGCACCUAACCUCUUCCGAAAGGAACGGGUAACCUUUGCAAAGCAUAUCGUGAUGGGGAUAGAUUAUUGCAAUUAUUAGUCUUGAACGAGGAAUUCCUAGUAAGCACAAGUCAUCAGCUUGUGUUGAUUACGUCCCUGCCCUUUGUACACACCGCCCGUCGCUCCUACCGAUUGAAUGUUCCGGUGAGCUCUUCGGACUGCGCGGUCUGCAGUUUCUGCGUUCCGUGCGGAAAGUUGCGCAAACCUUAACAUUUAGAGGAAGGAGAAGUCGUAACA